ACUUUUUCCGCCCCAGAACCAAAUAAAAAAGCGACGGUCCAACCAACGGAUUGGCCGCAGAACUGACGCCUAAGAACACACCACAAUCCCCGAGCCACCAUUUUCUUGUGGUCCUAAGUCCUAAGUCCACCAUUGCCCCCAGCUUGGGUCACAAGCUCCCGCAACCGAGCUCAGCGAUACUCUAUUAUUUUAUUGAUUUUAUAAAGUAAUUAUAUUGGAGUUUUGAUACCGGUGUGGGACUGGGAGGUCUCUUCUUAAUAUUCCUACUUACUUUGACCAGUUUGAGCAGAGUGUUUCAUCAACACGCCUGAAACGACACUCUUCUUAGGCGGCCAAAUUGUUUUCUCGCUCUCAGUUGAAAUGGUCUGUAAGGACAAUAGCCCCCGUGAUGAGAUUUACAGCUUAAUCUGGAGUCAAGAUUUUUCGCGUUGCGAAUAGUGUCAAAUGACAGUCUGGUAGCGGAUAGUUCAGAAAUAGAGCCCAUCUCAUCACAUAUUGCCAUUGUCGAGGAAUCUGAAUUCUGAGGACACUUCACCUUCAACUGAAAUUACAACUGGUCACCUUCUAAGUGUUGAAGUUGGCGGAAUUCAAUCUUUGUCACAUGCAGAACUAUCCCAAUGUCGCAUAUGCCUAGACAGUGAAGGUGUUGAUUAUGCGCUUAGUUAUAUGUAGACCAUUCAGGAAGAUAUAUUUCUCAAUGAUAAUGAGUAUUUUUUCGACUACGUGAUUGUAAUUACAUAUAUAUUCAGAACUGUUGUUGUUUACUAUACUUACACCUGGAAGUUUGGUGACUGAUUUUUAGGA